CGCACCUUCAGAUCAGAACCUUCAGUGCUAGUGCUGUUCUGCAGGCACACUCCUUCCUCCUCUUCCUCCUCCUCUUCCUCCUCCUCCUCCUUUCCUUCUCUCUCCUCCUCCUUCUCUCUCUCUCCUUCUUUCCUUCUCCUCCUCUCCCUUUUCCUCUCCUUUCUCUUCCCCCUCCUCUCCCUCCUUUUCCUCUUCCUCUCCCUUCUUUUCCUCCUCCUCCUUUCCUUCUCUCUCCUUCUUUUCCUUCUCCUCCUCUCCCUUUUCCUCUCCUUCCUCUUCCCCCUCCUCUCCCUCCUUUUCCUCCUCCUCUCCCUUCUUUUCCUCCUCCUCUCCCUUCUCCUUCUCCUCCUUCUUCUUCCUCCUUUUGUCUUCCCCUCCCCAUUCUUCUGCUGUGCAGCCAUUUUUAUUGCUCAUGGCUUUCUGUUGUUUGUUUCCUGGCUAAGUUCACUAUGUAGCAGAGGCUGGUCUUGAACUUCCUGGUCCUCCUGACUCCAUUGCUGAGUGCUGAGGUUAGAGUCCCCAACAGGGGCAGCCAGCUGGGGUUAUGGUACACAGCCUCCUGCCCAGGACUGGUGAAGCCAGGAAGGCUGCAGGAGGUGUAGAGCUACUGAACAUCUUAACCAGGGAAGCAGAGCCAGGUGUUUGGUCACGGAAGAGACAUCAAUGAGACAUGCAUGGAACCCUAUUGGGCUUGCACAGCAGACCGAGCUACCCAGAAGCUUUAUGAAGAGAGCUGAAGUAGGUGAGAAGAGAAACCAAUGAGAGGCAGAGUUGCAAAGAUGAAGACAUACAGACAAUCCAGGGAGGAGUUCAAGGAGCCAUUAAAGGAACCUACGGGGUUUCCUCCAUUUCCUUCCGCCCCCAAUAAGAUGCUGUGGCCCAGAUGGAUGAAGGAGGGUCCCAGCUUCUACAAGCACAUGAGCACAGGACCUAUCAGGAGCAGCUGGGCCAGACUUCCGACACGCCCUGUUAACAUCGAGCAUUUAUCACACUUCCGACUGCCAGAUUUUGUGCUAAGCCCUGAGGCGUUUUACAUUUUCUCUACAUUCCUUCCUGCUAGGCACCUUCUCGAUUCAUGUUUCACAAAUUAGAACAGGGGUCCAUAAACUGCUCCCUACAGGCCAAAUCCCACUGACACUUGUCUGUGUAAAUAUUGGGGGAGCUCGGCAAUGUGUGUCUACACGGUGUCUCUGGCUGCCUCCAGGGGCAGCAGCUGAGUGAGUGGUCACUGGGUUGGAGAUGCUCCGACCCUGAUUUUGAGCAGAUGGGCAGGCUGAGUCAUGUGGAACCAGCAAGCUGGGUGUGCCCUUGAUCCGGCCUGCCUUCGGGCUUGCUUUUUAUUAUGCUGAAGGGGACUUUGAGGUGGUUCUUCUCUGCUGUCCCUUCAGCACAGAGCGGGACCACUUAGGGAAGCUGCAGUGUGAGGUCUCUAGAAGCUCCCAGCAUGGUUUGAGGGCCAGUGAGAGAGGAUGUAACUUUGUUCCCAGGAACGUGACUGGUGGCCCUAGGGGACAGCUAAUUACAGACUUGGGUUUGUGUGUGCUCAACUUCUGUCCUCUGACUAUGAAAGAAAAAAAAAAGAAAGAAAGAAAAGAACAAAAAAGGAAAAAAAGAGAAAAAAAAAGGAGAUGGGUCUCUUGCUUCUCCAGCUUAAACUCUUGGGACCUCUCAUGGAGCAAACCCAGACAGAGAAAGAAAGAAAAGAAAGGGAUUGGGGGAGAGGGAGGGUAGACAAGGACUCUGCCUGAUGUCUGGGUGCUACGGAGUCUGUCUGUCAGAAACCUGUCCCCAGUGGUCUCCAGCUGGCCUACAAGUCUGCAGAGUUAACUUCCUGUGCUCUGGUAGCGGCAUUCGGCUUCUGUUCUUUCCUAGUGGGCAUUUUCCAGUAUGGACCAAGAUCCCAUUCUCUCUCAGAGAGGCUCUUUAAAAAUCUAUUUUUUUUAAGCUGAAGGUGGUGGCACACAACUUAAAUGCCAGCACUCAGGAGGGAGAGGCAGACAAAUGUCUGAGUUUGAGACCAGCCUGGUCUGCAUAGCAAGCGCUGGGCCAGACAAAGCUACACAGUGAGACCCAGUCUCAAUUAAAAACAAAACAAAACAAAAACCAACACAAAUCCUAUCUUGUGGUUAGAAGCAGCAAAACUAAAUGCAGACAGACCAAAGUGCAGAGCAGACAGGGGGCAGUGCCUGGAGAAGAUGAGGCCAUACCCAUCCCAAGCUAUGGUCCUCAGAGAUGCUGACUGGACAAAAGGCUUUGGAAAUGUGCAGGAGGAUGAGUCAUCGCACCUCCCAACAACGCCUACCUUUCGGGCAGUUCUGCCUUCAAAAACCAUUUCCUCUAGUGGCCGUGGCUGAGAUCUAUCCUCAGGGCCCUAACGCCAUCUCUUAUCCUCCCGUGGCUUGGUCUGUCUGUCAUGUGGACCUUAGCGUAGUCAGGCAUCAACACAGAAUCUAGAAGACAAAAUUGUCAGUCUGGGUCCUCUCUGGAGAGGCUGUUAAACUCAGGCUCUUCCACCCCCCCCCCCCCGGGGAAACCAGAGCAGUGAGUGCCUGAGAGCAUCCCUCUCUGGUCCUGUCCUUCCUCUUCCGUUAGCCGGAAAGGUUCUGGUCUCCAGAGUUCCUGGCCCAUCCUAGGGAAGGGAAAGAGGUCACCUGAAAUGCCAGUUGCACUUCAGGAGUGUGACCGAGUG